GAAGGUGGCCUGUGAGGGUUGCUGGAGGUAUCAGAAGUGCGAAUGCUGACAUAAGUAACGAUAAAGCGGGUGAAAAGCCCGCUCGCCGGAAGACCAAGGGUUCCUGUCCAACGUUAAUCGGGGCAGGGUGAGUCGACCCCUAAGGCGAGGCCGAAAGGCGUAGUCGAUGGGAAACGGGUUAAUAUUCCCGUACUUGGUGUUACUGCGAAGGGGGGACGGAGAAGGCUAUGUUGGCCGGGCGACGGUUGUCCCGGUUUAAGCGUGUAGGUGUGUGUUCCAGGUAAAUCCGGUUCACUUUAACACUGAGGCGUGACGACGAGGCACUACGGUGCUGAAGCAACAAAUGCCCUGCUUCCAGGAAAAGCCUCUAAGCAUCAGGUAACAUCAAAUCGUACCCCAAACCGACACAGGUGGUCAGGUAGAGAAUACCAAGGCGCUUGAGAGAACUCGGGUGAAGGAACUAGGCAAAAUGGUGCCGUAACUUCGGGAGAAGGCACGCUGACACGUAGGUGAAGUGAUUUACUCAUGGAGCUGAAGUCAGUCGAAGAUACCAGCUGGCUGCAACUGUUUAUUAAAAACACAGCACUGUGCAAACACGAAAGUGGACGUAUACGGUGUGACGCCUGCCCGGUGCCGGAAGGUUAAUUGAUGGGGUCAGCGCAAGCGAAGCUCCUGAUCGAAGCCCCGGUAAACGGCGGCCGUAACUAUAACGGUCCUAAGGUAGCGAAAUUCCUUGUCGGGUAAGUUCCGACCUGCACGAAUGGCGUAAUGAUGGCCAGGCUGUCUCCACCCGAGACUCAGUGAAAUUGAACUCGCUGUGAAGAUGCAGUGUACCCGCGGCAAGACGGAAAGACCCCGUGAACCUUUACUAUAGCUUGACACUGAACAUUGAGCCUUGAUGUGUAGGAUAGGUGGGAGGCUUUGAAGCGUGGACGCCAGUCUGCGUGGAGCCGACCUUGAAAUACCACCCUUUAAUGUUUGAUGUUCUAACGUGGACCCGUGAUCCGGGUUGCGGACAGUGUCUGGUGGGUAGUUUGACUGGGGCGGUCUCCUCCUAAAGAGUAACGGAGGAGCACGAAGGUUGGCUAAUCCUGGUCGGACAUCAGGAGGUUAGUGCAAUGGCAUAAGCCAGCUUGACUGCGAGCGUGACGGCGCGAGCAGGUGCGAAAGCAGGUCAUAGUGAUCCGGUGGUUCUGAAUGGAAGGGCCAUCGCUCAACGGAUAAAAGGUACUCCGGGGAUAACAGGCUGAUACCGCCCAAGAGUUCAUAUCGACGGCGGUGUUUGGCACCUCGAUGUCGGCUCAUCACAUCCUGGGGCUGAAGUAGGUCCCAAGGGUAUGGCUGUUCGCCAUUUAAAGUGGUACGCGAGCUGGGUUUAGAACGUCGUGAGACAGUUCGGUCCCUAUCUGCCGUGGGCGCUGGAGAACUGAGGGGGGCUGCUCCUAGUACGAGAGGACCGGAGUGGACGCAUCACUGGUGUUCGGGUUGUCAUGCCAAUGGCACUGCCCGGUAGCUAAAUGCGGAAGAGAUAAGUGCUGAAAGCAUCUAAGCACGAAACUUGCCCCGAGAUGAGUUCUCCCUGAGACUUAGAGUCUCCUGAAGGAACGUUGAAGACGACGACGUUGAUAGGCCGGGUGUGUAAGCGCAGCGAUGCGUUGAGCUAACCGGUACUAAUGAACCGUGAGGCUUAACCUUACAAC
rnacentral:rRNA from 1 species